ensembl:snRNA U2 U2 spliceosomal RNA
AUUGCUUCUCGGCCUUUUGGCUAAGAUCAAGUGUAGGAGUAUUUAUAUGGUAAAGGACAUUUAUUCACCUAUUCGUCUUAAGCCCAAUAUUACUAUUUUUAAAUCAUACAUUUAGUUAUUUAAAAGAUACAGCCUAC